UGAAUCUCAGCGUGCAUAUCGGCCAGGAU
rnacentral:sRNA from 1 species